UCAAGUUUACGCCGUAAAUUUACGCCACAAGUGCGCAACAUUGAUACAUGAGGCCCAAUAUCACUACUUUAUUGACCUGAAAAUGAAAUCAAAUGUGACAUAUUUGUCAUUAAGUAACCACAAAGUGGAUUACUUAAGUGCUCUUAUAAUUGUAAGUGUACUGUUUAUCUUUUAAUUUGUUAUUUUGAUGUCACAGGUGUUCCCUUUCCGUUUCUCCACCAGACAAUGUCUUGUCCAUAUUGUGGAAUCCAGCUGGUGGGACGGACAUAUUGGAAGUUUUUUGUGGCUCAGGUUUUGGCACCUUUGAUAGAGAAUGGACUCAGUUUCAGUGACCUGAGAGAGAGAUGUCUUUUCACUGGCAGUCAUGAGCAUAAAUGCCUUUUGCAGUAUGUCUUCAUGAAUGUCCUGCAAAGAGUGUUUGACACCUCUGCAACAAUCGCACCGUCAGACCUGUGCACCAGUCUUGUUGUCCAUCUGGUAAACUAGAAGCCGUGUAUCACCUUCCUCAGACUGUAGACUGACCUAAAGGUGCGGUGGAGCAGAUUGUGGAUUCCAAGUGUCUCAGGAAGUCCUGCACCAGUUUGAUGACAUUCUGCCAGCUCUAUGUGGUGAUGACAAUCUCCGGGUCCAUUUAAUGAACUUGGAAAGAGAGUGAAAUCCCUCGACUAGUUAUCUGAUCCACUGCAGUCAAAAAUCAUAUAGCACUCAAAAAUAUGGCUGGACUUUAGAAGAUAACAACUAGUGAUUCUAACAGAUUAUCUGCUAGAUGUUAAUACUAUUAGUUCUGACACAAAUUCUCAAAAAAACAACUUUGAACAACCUUUGGGUACAAAUUUUGUUACAGAAAUAUUAUGUUUUGUUUUUAAUUGUUUAACUACUGUAAACAUUCACUGGGGAAGUUUUCUACCUGAAGAAAUAAGAAGGCAAUGUGUUGUACUAUAUAAAGAACUUUUUCCUUUUAAUGACAUAACAUCAAACAGUUUGAUCCAGAUGGAGGUACAGAUUUGUUUUACCGAGACAGGAUUACAAAAACAUUCUUUAAGAUCAGUAUUUUUGUGAACAGGCUUCAAAUAGUAAGCAUUUCUUUGCAAAUGUACUCCUCAAAAAUAAAAGUGCACUUUAAUGAAAAUAAAACUUUUUCUCUGUGCUGAUUUUUUUCCAGUAUAAUUCUACGGCUGCAUCUCAGUACAUUAGAGUAUUGAGGUAUUUUCCCCCCUGCAUUUUAAAAAGCUCAUUUUCAAGAUAUUUGAAGAAAUAAAUAUUUCAAGUCUUUUUAAAGUUUGCCAAUUACGGUUAGUGUUUUUGAAAUUACAAAUCCUGAUAUUAUAAUUUACUGAGAUGCACCUACUUUCAUGUGCUGUUUAGAGACUUUCUUGAAAUGUUUAAUCACAAAAUGCAGGAUAAAAUUUAACAUGGAAGGGUUUAUAAAGUAAACAAUGUAAAAAUGUAAACUUUUGAAUAAAAUUAGAAACACUGAGGUUGCAACUGUCUUAUGAGCAAAACGAUUUGGAAUUUGGGGAAGUCCAAACCCAGGAGAGAUCGGGAUGCCAUAAUCCAUGGCUUCUUGAAAUUCCUCAUAACUGUAAUACUGGAAUUCUGCAUGAACAUCUGCUACAGGGAAGUGUGAAGUGACCUCAAAAAUAAGCUGUGGCUUUGGCUGAAUUCCCGCUGGAGGAAUUUUCCUCAGUCCAGUAGCAAACAUAAGAAUGUCUUUCAAAGAUAGAUUUCCAUUUUUCUCUGGGGAGGUACAUCCCCAAUUCCAAUGAAGCUGGGAUGUUGUGUAAAUGUAAAUAAAAACAGAAUACAUCCAUCCAUCCAUCCAUCCAUUUUCUUCCGCUUCAUCCGAGGUGGGG